GGUGAAGAUAGAGGUUAAUGAGUUAAUGGAUGGUGUAAAGUGAGUCAAUAUUUAUAAUAAAGCCAUCCUCACACAUAUCAUAUGACACUGCAAUGUGUAACCCCUUUCAAGCAUCGCAUUUUCAAAGAAAAGAUGGUCUUACAUUCUCAUCUCUUCAAAUUUCAAACUUAACAAAUGAAUAGUAUGUCAUAUCCCAUGGUUCUCUAAUAGUCAUUACCUGAAGCGUCAACUAGCCUAUUAGCAAACAAGCAUGACUAACUAAUAACUAUAUGGAAGUAACUCCUUUUAUUUUUCCACUUUUUAACUUUUAUGCAUAUAUUUGAGAAGAAUGAUUAAGGGGGCAAAAUUUUGGUCGAAACCAGGGCCCAAAUCAAAGGCCACCAACAGAGGCAUCAGAGAGCGCAGACAUGUUGACCAUCAAUUCAAUUUCUGUGCGCACUACCAUGCUACCUUCAUUCUCUAAUAAAUCCAAAGAAUCGAC
rnacentral:misc_RNA from 1 species